AAAAAAGGGAAUAGAGAACAGGUUCACAUCCCUGGCUUGCGCAAUUCCUCAGUUCCAUGUGCAAAGUGGCACCUAUCCCCAAAAGUGCAAGAUCCUUUAGCAAAAUUCUCACAAAGCUUAGUUUUGAAGUUGUUUGUUGGACCAGAAUGUAUAACAGGGUUCUUCAUUGGAGCACCAGAAGCUUGACUGACAUUCCCAAUAAGCUCACGAAC
rnacentral:misc_RNA from 1 species